UACGUAGGGGGCAAGCGUUGUUCGGAAUUACUGGGCGUAAAGGGCGCGUAGGCGGUUCGUUAAGUCGCGUGUGAAAGCCCCCGGCUCAACUGGGGAGGGUCACGCGAUACUGGUCGACUCGAAGGCAGGAGAGGGUAGUGGAAUUCCCGGUGUAGUGGUGAAAUGCGUAGAUAUCGGGAGGAACACCAGUGGCGAAGGCGACUACCUGGCCUGUUCUUGACGCUGAGGCGCGAAAGCUAGGGGAGCAAACGGG
rnacentral:rRNA from 1 species